GGAAUUCCUUCCCCGGGACUUGGGAACCACUUCUGCCUCCCUCCCUGGGGCGUGGAGGCUGAGGAAAAGGAGUUAAUGUGUUAAGAGCCAUUGACAUUUGAAGAUCAUCAGAAGUGAAGAUAAAACAUCUCAAAAAUUAUAAUUGCCUCCACUUCUCAUUCAGAGAAUUCAGUGCAUACAAAAUCAGCUUCUGUUGUAUCAUCAGAUUCCAUUUCAACUUCUGCCGACAACUUUUCUCCUGAUUUGAGGCCCAUGCAGUCCAGUUCGGGAGCUAAGUCACUUAAACACUGUGUGAUAGUUCCUACACAUCUCAUUAUAGUUUUUCUUAGUUAUUGGCCGCAGGUGAGCCAGAUUGUGGAAGAUGGAGGAAUUAAUGGGAUUGGAGACAGAAAUUUACUGUUUGAUGGUCCUGAGGGAGUCUAACAAGUUAGCAGAAAUGGAAGAACCACCCUUGCUUCCAGGAGAAAAUAUUAAAGACAUGGCCAAAGAUGUAACUUAUAUAUGUCCAUUCACUGGUGCUGUACGAGGAACUCUGACUGUCACGAAUUAUAGGUUAU
rnacentral:sRNA from 1 species